UCUCUCUCUCUCUCACUUCAUUCCAAUUUUUUAUUGUUUUCACGUUUUAUUUGGUUGGUUUUAAUUUUUACUUUCACGUGCGAUAGUGAAAUGCGCUAGAAAGAUUCUUUAGAACAAACUAGCUUAUAUGCCUACAACCACAAGAAGUUGCAGCUUCCUAAUAAAUAAAUAAAUAAAAAAUGUGAAAGGUUCUGAAUUGAGGAUUUGGAUCCUCUCCUGAGCUAACGGAUUCUCCUGACCAAGUGUUAUGGACCGUUGGAUUUUCAUCCAACGGCUACAAACAGUGGGUCCUUUUAAAGUUAUAAUAAUUAUAACUGUUGGAUGAAAAUCUAACUGCCCAUAAGACUUGAUCAGGAGGAUUCUCUCCAUUAGCUCAGGAGAGGAUCCAAAUCCCUGAAUUGAUAUUAUGGGCUGGUGGGUUUGUUGUACUGUCGGGCGUGGUAAAAUGUGAAAGGUUCAGGAAAAUAUGGAUAAUCGUGACUUGUCAACAUGUCUCUACAUUAAAAAAAUAAAAUAAAAAAAAAGCUAGCUUAUG
rnacentral:lncRNA from 1 species